rnacentral:lncRNA from 1 species
CAGGGCAUGGUGCUGCCAGGGAUCUUGGCAACUGGACAAUUCCCACCACUGGAAGGAACAAAGCAGGAAAGAUGCGUAAACAGAGAGAAUUUGGAUACCAGCUGGAGAGAACACCUCGCUUGUGCUGGUUCACUCAGCACAACACAUGUCCAUCUGAGGUGCCACGCUAGGCUCUAAGGGCAUAAUGACAAUGAGACAUGCCCCUUGCCCUGAAGAGUCCUGCCACAGGGAAAGCACUGUGGGCUUACAGGAGUUGAAAGAUGGCUGUGGGAACAUGCAGGAGCAGCGACCAGCCUCUCGGCGCUCAGGAGCAAGCUCCAGCCUGUGGUUCCUGAAGACGUCCUGCUGAGCACAAGGACAGCAGGCACAGGUCUUCGCUCUCAGACUUUCCCUCUGGUUGCUGCCCCGAGAGUGGGCCAGCCCAGGUCAGGGGAGCUGAUGACCGGCUGCUGCAAGGGAUGCCGAAGGCGCAGAGCGAAAUAGCAGAAUGUGGAGAGAGGGGACAGGAGGAUGAUGAGGGCCAAGCCCUGCAAAGAGGAGGAAGUCACUGGCAUGAAAGCAGUGGGGGCUGCAGAACAUGUAGGCUGGUGGAGGUCAGAGCACAUCUGCUCCUGGGGAGGAGCAGCUCGGGAGAGGCCGGAAGCUGCACUGGAGCUGGGGCGGCAGGCAUGUCGUCCUCGUCAGACAUAUGAGAACACAGAGGUGCAGAGGGGCCGAGCAACUGCUUCAGAGACACACAGCAUGAGUGCAGCCAGCCCCACUCCCCGUAUGGGAGCCCCGGGUGACAGGAAGGACCUCAGCCACCCCUCCAAGGAGCUGGAUCUUCAUCCUGAAGGCACCUGCGGAGCCCUAGGGAUGUGCAGCAGGAGGAAGGAGCCGACCUGCAUUCUUAGAUGCUCACUCUGACAGCUCUCCGUGCAGUGGACAAGCUGAUGCAAGAGACGCAAAGCUCCACAGAGAGUGGGAAGGGAAGUCAGAGGGACCAGGGCCAGGCUGGAGAUGGCCGUACAGGAGAAACAGCCUGCAAAGAAGGGAGGAGGAGCCAGAACGUGCCCAGCCAAGGCAAAGCAGACUUGGGUCUGUGUAUCAGUCAUUUUGGCCAAUGAGGUGGGUACAAGAGAGAAAAUAAAGGGGAAGACAUAAAUUUGGAGGGCUGGGGAGGAUUUUAUUGUGGGCUAGCCGAGGCUGGCUCCCGGGAGACAAGUAGAGACCUGGAUCUCAGGAUCACCGCCCGGGACUUCAGAUCCAUUGAGGCUUGGAAGGGAGCCAGCUCCCCUGUCCCCUCCCAAGGAGAUGGUGGGGAUUGGGGAUGAUGGAAUCAGCCCCCAGAGGCCAGAAAGCUCCAGCCUCCAGGGGGUGGAUAGAGGAAGGGGACGCUGGGAAGCCAGGCCUGCCAGAGGGGCAGCAGGGAACCCAGGGCAGCGCUGCCAGGGCAGUUGUGCCAGGAAAUUGUUUUGAGGGUUGAGCAGGCAAUGGGGCUCCCCAGAGGAGCCUUUAGGGCACUGUAGGUCUGAGAAGUAGGGUCCACUCGGCCAAAUCCCGAGGGCAGCAUGGUUUGGCCCCGGUGGUUUUAAAAAAUGGUCCUGAGGGAAGGAAGCAAGUGAAGAGAGGGACGUCACAGAAACAACCCGAAGACAUUCAGGGACUCUGAUUGCAAAGAGGAGCAGAAACGGCCAGUUUCACAAGAGCCGAGCGGGAGACAGGGUGCCAUUGGGAUUUCUGGUGAGAGAGCUGUCAAGGGGAAAGAGCUGGCUGUGAGACUAAUAUUUCAGAUCUGAAAUGGAGAGGGCAGGGGGCUCAGGGCUGCCAAGGAGGAUGGGCUUCCUUCCCUCUAGCAUGCGAGGGAGAAGAGGCCAGGAGGAGCAAGCAGGCUAGAAGGCUCUGCCCCUGGAGGAUUCGGCUUUGGGUGGAAGGGAGGUUGCCGGGAGCUGAGGUUGGGAGUAUCCUUGGGAAGCAGGCUGAGGAGACUGCAGGGGUUUGCCAUCGCUGUGAGAGGGAGGAGGACAUGCAGCUGGCCAGACACUGAAGAAGGACUUUUGUGCCACCCUGGGACUAAGAAUGCUCAGACGCCUCCUGAGCAGAGGCGGCAUGGGGCUGGCUCAGGUGCACAGGUGCUGCUGAGGCAGCUCCCAGAGAAGGAGGAGUCAGAAGUCCCUUGCGGGCAUGGGAACGUGACACCCUGCACCACGGACCAGGCCUCGAGGUAACUCAGCAGAGCACGUAGGACCGGUGACAGGGACAGAAGCGACUCAGCACAUCACAUCCUCUGGAAGAGGGUGAUCUGCCCAGAGCUGGGGGUCCCAAGACCGCAGCCCACAGCGUGAGACAGUGGCAUUUAGCCAGGAGCCAUCCGGGAGCUGCUCUGGGCACCCCUGCCUUGCUAGGUCUAGAUCCCCUGCCGACAGCAUUGCCGACCAGACAGGGAGUGGUGGUGGGAGGAAGCCCGCCCUUCCCCUCCCUCUCUCGGUAGCCACAGUCCAGUGCUGCCUUUCCUCAUUACCUGUGCACCCUCACCCACAUGGAGAGUAUGAGGUGGUCCUGCGCUCACGUACCCCCAUGCUGGGCCAGUGAUGACAGCUAUCACUGUGCCAGCCCCCAGGGAGAGAGAUUCAGAGUCAAUUGCAGGUCCCAAAUAUUGUGAAGUGGGCAUUAUUUUCACUUUACAGUCUCAGAAAGGAGGCUUGGAGAAGUCGACCAACCUUUGCCUGUGUCACAUAGUUUGAAAGGAGCAGAGCCGAGAUUUAAGCCAGGCCUGAAGAGCAAAAACCCAUUAUAAUGGGCUCUCCUGCUCCACCUGCUUUGAAGGACUGAGAAUGUACUCACAAUUCCAUCCAUCUGUCCAUCCGUCCAUCCACCCAACAUGGAAGCAUUUACUAGCCUCCCAAUUCUGCCUCGAGAUUUAGAAUGGCUAUAUUUAGCAUAAACAGGAAAAGGUUCCAAGGAGCUGAGGCAUCAGGCAGAUGGGAUGCAGUGGGACCCAUUCUUAUGCAAUCUUCAGAUUGCCUUCUACAGCCGGAAGAACCCCACAAACCUCGCCAGUCUCCUCCCCUUGUUCCCAUUUACAGAACAGCAGAGGGGGUGGGGCUGGGAAGGAAGCAGCUCUUCUCUUGUCAACUACUGGCUGUGACCUAAACAGUCCUAGGGGCUCCCUGUACUCUGCACACUGCAGGGGCCUUUGGGACCUUUUCAAAGCACCUCCAGGAAUGUUCCAUGCACUUCAGUGCUGGGAUAAAAAUUCAGGCGGGCUUAGGGCACCUAAGCAUGUUAGGGUCCCUGCUGCGCCUUCAUUCUGCCUCCUCAGCGCCUACGCCUACCUCAUCACCAUCGCCCACCAGCCCCCACCCACACAGGAAGUACAGCUUCCCUGCUCCGUCCUCCUCCUGGCCUGGUGGAAACUGAGCCAGGAAUGGGGGAUCAGUGUGCAAGCAGCCACGGACAUGGGCCUUGGUGUCCUGAGUCUCACUGAAUCCUCUCAAGAAGUUUGUGUUAGAGCAAAGGCUGCUGGUGAGUGUGACUAGAAGGUAAAGGACACGCAGGAGCGGAGCGCUAUAGGCAAGUCAAAGCCAUGGAGAAGCUGAGGUACAGGUCCUGGAGUGUGGCUGGACUGCUCACUAGAGCCCUGCUGGGUGAUGGAGGCAGGGGCUCCAUCUUGCUGGACGCCAUGGGAGGGGGGGGCAGAGUGCUCUGCCAAUCUGCCUCACUAUCUGUGGCACCCUGGGGCGUGGGGGCCUCUCGAUUUCCAGGCACAUCUGUGCGUACAAUAAAUCAUCAGGGCCUCUACGCACGAGUCAGGGCUUGCUGGGGGAGGGUGGCAGGGGAGCCGGACUCACCACACCCCACUGGUGUCCACUCUGGCCUCCUGCCCUUCUCUUUCCUGCCAGGAGUCCGGCAUCAGCUGGACAGCCCCCAGUGAAGGCUGUCCCCCACCCCGUGAAGUGUGACGCGGACAGCCACCCACCACCACUCCCUCUUGCUCUUCCAUGAAGACACAGUCACCCCUCCUGCUUCCCUGACUCCACUCCAUGUGAUCAGUCUCCCAGAGCUCAGUAUACACGCCACUGCCUCUUCCCUGGACCUGCCGAGAGACCCCACAGGAAGCCACUGCCUCAGCCUAGGAGUGGUUCCUCUAGGCUUGUUUUCAAGUGGGAGCAAACAGGCUCAGAGCAGCUGAAGUGCCGCCAGAUGACACGUAGCUAGCAAGAGACAGACCUGGCCUUGGAACUUCGAAACCCUGCCCACGUCUGAUGUCACUGAUGGGGGACAGUGAGACGGACGUAUCACCUACCGCCAGAGAUUCAGGUUCUUGUAUCUUCAAAGAGCAAAUGCUGUCUGCCUUUUCCCCUCCACCUGUCUGGAGACUUGUCAGACCAAGAGCAGACAGGAGGCUGCAGGCCAUCUUCAGAGGGGUAGGCCCCACUCCACCUCCUCCCAAGACCCUUCAGGGAGAGGGGCCAGGUAUGCACCCAAAACAGAGCUCCAAGAGCAGGCUGUGUGCCCCUUCCCCAUGGAGCUGUGUGGAGGGCAGAACAGGAUGGGCACAGGGCAGGGAGAGGAAAGCAGGACUCCCACUGAACAGCCCUCUCACAACCGGGAGAUGGGGAGGGACAAGGGCAGAGGAGCAAGUCAGUGCACUUGGGGUGGGGGAGAGGUCAGUGAGCUACCUGAGACCAGCCUGAGGGCUGCUCCAGCGAGAAGGGGCCUCUGUCCCCACCCCCACUGCUCGAAUGCCC